UCAGUUCAUCGAGGAAUCCUGUUACUGUGUAAUGGUUUCCACACUUCAUUAAGCACAACAAUUUUCAACUCUAAUAAUAAUCAGAAAUGUUUCUUGAGCAGCAAAUCAGCAUAUUAGAAUUAAUUCUGAAAGAUCAAAUGACACUGAAGAGGAAAAAUUGAAAUCUGACAUCACAGACCUUAAAGCCUUAGAACAGUAGGCUAAUCAGAAUCAGAUAUUUAUUGCCAAGUGUGUUUACAUACACAAGGAAUUUGUCUUGGUGACAGGAGCUACCAGUGCAAAGAAAAAAAUAAUAAUACAGACAUACAUUAAAUUAAGUUGCUGUUAAUAAAAUCAUUUUGUUAACAUCAAAUUAGUUGCAUAUUCUAUUCCAUAAAAUGCCGUGAAGGCCUAUUUGUUUUCUCAUUUACAGUGUACCAAAUAUAGGCUACUUUAUACACUUUUGUCCAUACAAAUUUGUUUAAUCCAAAAUUGUGCUUAUGUAUUAAAGGAACACUUUCAUCCAUGUGUGUGGUCUUGGAUUCCUGUUCAUUUUGUAAAUAUAAGUCAAACAGUUUGAAGAAUCACACCAGGGCAGAUUAAAAAUGAUUAGUCCACAGAUACAAGUUUAUUUCAGCUGUUGCACUCAAAAGAUAACAAUAGCAGACAGUUUUAAAGCAUUGCAAGCUAAGCUACAGCACAACAAACUGAAAUCAAUACAACUAGCUGAGGUUUGCUGUGCUUUAUCCUAACAUUACACAAAGAAUGCUUGCUAUCAUUCAGUCAGGGACGACUGCACAAAACGUGCAAUUAAUAAAAACAUUAUAAACUGUUACAAAAUGAUGAACAAAUAGGCAUACGUUUGCACAACGCUGAAAAUAUUUUAAAAUAUUCCAUUAAACCUGCUGAGAUACAAGGAGCGUAAACUGAAAUCGUCAGUUCCACGCGCAUGUCCGGGAAACUCAUUAAUAUUCAUGUAUGCUCCGCCCACUGAAACUGAAAAUCUCGGAAACCGAAAAUCUCGUAACACCGGACUCUUGCGUGGACGUCGCCUGAUGGGAGAGCUUUCACGAGAUUGUCAUCCGAUUGUUCUGCUCCACAGCACAGCACAGGCUUUGGCUUUUGUGCUGGAUGGAGAAACUGAGAAGUUUAUAAACAGAAGGCAUGGAAGAAGAGAGCAGGUCCUAAAACAAAGAAAUUCUUCUUAAGGAUAAACCUGAGGUCCUGGGAGUUCUUAGAGGUUCUAAAGUGUUUUUUAUGCAUUUGUUAAUGUCAAAUUUUCAAUAAUAAAUUCU